CAAUCCAUGAGUACAGUGGCGACCGGGUGAGUAACACGUGACUACCUACCCUUGAGUGGGGGAUAACCUCGGGAAACCGAGGCUAAUACCGCAUAAUAUCGAGAGAUCAAAGGAGAAAUCCGCUUUUGGAGGGGGUCGCGGCUGAUUAGCUAGUUGGUGAGGUAAUGGCCCACCAAGGCGAAGAUCGGUAUCCGGCCUGAGAGGGCGCACGGACACACUGGAACUGAAACACGGUCCAG
rnacentral:rRNA from 1 species